AGUGAACGCUGGCGGUAGGCCUAACACAUGCAAGUCGAACGGCAGCACAGUAAGAGCUUGCUCUUACGGGUGGCGAGUGGCGGACGGGUGAGGAAUACAUCGGAAUCUACUUUUUCGUGGGGGAUAAUGUAGGGAAACUUACGCUAAUACCGCAUACGACCUACGGGUGAAAGCAGGGGAUCUUCGGACCUUGCGCGAUUGAAUGAGCCGAUGUCGGAUUAGCUAGUUGGCGGGGUAAAGGCCCACCAAGGCGACGAUCCGUAGCUGGUCUGAGAGGAUGAUCAGCCACACUGGAACUGAGACACGGUCCAGACUCCUACGGGAGGCGGCAGUGGGGAAUAUUGGACAAUGGGCGAAAGCCUGAUCCAGCCAUACCGCGUGGGUGAAGAAGGCCUUCGGGUUGUAAAGCCCUUUUGUUGGGAAAGAAAAGCAGCAGGUUAAUACCCCGCUGUUCUGACGGUACCCAAAGAAUAAGCACCGGCUAACUUCGUG
rnacentral:rRNA from 1 species